rnacentral:rRNA from 1 species
ACAUCCUGCGGGAGGCAGCAGUGGGGAAUAUUGCACAAUGGGCGCAAGCCUGAUGCAGCGACGCCGCGUGGGGGAUGAAGGCCUUCGGGUUGUAAACUCCUUUCGCUAGGGACGAAGCUUUUUUGUGACGGUACCUAGAUAAGAAGCACCGGCUAACUACGUGCCAGCAGCCGCGGUAAUACGUAGGGUGCGAGCGUUGUCCGGAAUUACUGGGCGUAAAGGGCUCGUAGGUGGUUUGUCGCGUCGUCUGUGAAAUUCUGGGGCUUAACUCCGGGCGUGCAGGCGAUACGGGCAUAACUUGAGUGCUGUAGGGGUAACUGGAAUUCCUGGUGUAGCGGUGAAAUGCGCAGAUAUCAGGAGGAACACCGAUGGCGAAGGCAGGUUACUGGGCAGUUACUGACGCUGAGGAGCGAAAGCAUGGGUAGCGAACAGGAUUAGAUAACCCAGUAGUCCCAUGAU